rnacentral:rRNA from 1 species
AGUGAACGCUGGCGGUAGGCCUAACACAUGCAAGUCGAACGGCAGCACAGUAAGAGCUUGCUCUUACGGGUGGCGAGUGGCGGACGGGUGAGGAAUACAUCGGAAUCUACUUUUUCGUGGGGGAUAACGUAGGGAAACUUACGCUAAUACCGCAUACGACCUACGGGUGAAAGCGGGGGAUCUUCGGACCUUGCGCGAUUGAAUGAGCCGAUGUCGGAUUAGCUAGUUGGCGGGGUAAAGGCCCACCAAGGCGACGAUCCGUAGCUGGUCUGAGAGGAUGAUCAGCCACACUGGAACUGAGACACGGUCCAGACUCCUACGGGAGGCGGCAGUGGGGAAUAUUGGACAAUGGGCGCAAGCCUGAUCCAGCCAUACCGCGUGGGUGAAGAAGGCCUUCGGGUUGUAAAGCCCUUUUGUUGGGAAAGAAAAGCAGCAGGUUAAUACCCCGCUGUUCUGACGGUACCCAAAGAAUAAGCACCGGCUAACUUCGUG